UAUACGACUCUCGGCAACGGAUAUCUCGGCUCUCGCAUCGAUGAAGAACGUAGUGAAAUGUGAUACUUGGUGUGAAUUGCAGAAUCCCAUGAACCAUCGAGUCUUUGAACGCAAGUUGCGCCCGAGGCCAUUCGGUUGAGGGCACGCCUGCCUGGGCGUCACGC
rnacentral:rRNA from 1 species